rnacentral:lncRNA from 1 species
AGCAACCAAUGUCCAGAACUGUGAUAAGCCAUUGAGCCAAGUCCUUGUAUGCAUGCUGCAGACUCUCCCUGAUCAGAUGAAGAACAAAGAUUCAUUCAAAGGCUGUUCAACAAGUCAGCCAAUCCUGGGACAUCCACAGGACAGUGUUAGUCUCAUAGUCAAGCACAAGCUACCUGGAGGAUGACUGCCAUUAUCAUACCUAGAGUGAAUCUUAGGUGAACCCUGAAGCCAGUCCACCCUGUACACAGCCUCCGCUGUUGCCUCAUCAGCACUGACCAUGCUCAUCAGACUGAGGAAUGGGCUUCGUGAUCGAGAGAGGAACGAGAAUGAGCUAAACUUUUGACUUGGAUCCCUGGGGGAUGAGACAAACCUGCCAAGGCAGAUACACAAAGAAAGCCUGGCUUGAAGGCAUCCUGAACAAAUGGGCUGGAGAUGCUCCUGGGACUUCAAAUGGAUUGUUGAAUUUACAUAGUGCUUGGCACACAGUAGAUGUUCAAUCAACACUUGUCCUCUAGGCCACUUGGA